GGGACGUGACGGGGGACCAGCAAUUGGGGAUCUCCUCCACGACUCCCUCGACGUUGCAGCGAGGAACGGCAUGGCAGCGUGGUUUCUGUUUACUCCGCACGGUGUCCAUGGCCAAUAAUGGUGUUCAAUUCGUUGAUAUAUGCAUAGCAACCAGAUUGCUUAAUGGUGGUUUGAUUGACUUGCUAGAACUUUGCAAAGUUCCCUGGCAGAAGAGAAAAACUGAUAUUGCAUAAUUAUUUGCAGAUGACUGUUACCUGCUAUAAGUAAGCU